GAUGAACGCUGGCGGCGUGCCUAAUACAUGCAAGUCGAGCGAACGGACGAGAAGCUUUCUUUUCUGAUGUUAGCGGCGGUCGGGUGAGUAACACGUGGAUAACCUACCUAUAAGACUGGGAUAACUUCGGGAAACCGGAGCUAAUACCGGAUAAUAUUUUGAACCGCAUGGUUCAAAAGUGAAAGACGGUCUUGCUGUCACUUAUAGAUGGAUACGCGCUGCAUUAGUUAGUUGGUAAGGUAACGGCUUACCAAGGCAACGAUGCAUAGCCGACCUGAGGGGAGGAUCAGCAGCAGGGAAGAGAGGACGAGGUCCGACCCCCUACGGAGGCAGCAGUAGGGAAUCUUCCGCAAGGGGCGAAAGCCUGACGGAGCAACGCCGCGUGAGUGAUGAAGGUCUUCGGAUCGUAAAAUUCUGUUAUUAGGGAAGAACAUAUGUGUAAGUAACUGUGCACAUAUUGACGGUACCUAAACAGAAAGCCACGGCUAACUACGUG
rnacentral:rRNA from 1 species